UGAUUGAGCAAGCUUCACUGGUUAGCGGGCUAUUCAAUGGAAAACGAAAGCUAUUACUAUUCUCCCCAUGGCGUCCAGCAACGUAAAUGACCCUAGUCAAGGGAACAGCUACCAGGAGAACUUCAGCUGCUCUGAGAGUAACUCUGAGAGCAGUGCUACAGAAGAGGAAUCAGACAGUGAUGCAGCAGGACCCCGGCAGGAUCAGGAAGACCUUGCGGUAUACAACAGUGGUCACUGCCGG